GGGGCGGGGCUGCAGCUGCAUCUCACACACACUGUCUGCGAAGCUGCUGCUGCCUCAGCUGCAAUGUUGCAUCAGUGCCUCUGGACAAGUGUUUGGGCAGCAAAACCCGUCCCUCACGCUUGGUUCAGAGGGACGGAGUUGUGGCUCCUCUCACUGUUUAAGGAGUGAGGUUGAAGCCAGUGAUGGAAGUGCAGACACAGACACGCGGCUCUGAGUUAGUGUGGGCUUGAUGCUGCACAGAAUGCAGCCGCUCUCAAACUGUCCCUGCAGCAGCAACGUGAGGCCGAUGGGCUUUGGACAAAUGGCAGUGGCCACAUCCCAGGAGUUUAAAAUCUUUCAUCAUUUUACCCCAAUCUUCACACGUGACCACUGCUUUGUUUUACAAGUGGCCACAACCUAUACGUGUUGGCUUCAAUGAGCUGACAGGAACUUCAACUUGGGGAAGAGAGAAAGCGGGAGAGAGCGAGAGAGACUUCACUGAGGACCGUGAUGUGCGCGGUGCCGGGACCCUCGAGUUGUCCACACCAGCCGUCGCCGACAGCACACAAUGAUGUACACAAGCGUGAGGAGUUGGGUUUCACAAGCCAAGUGUACAGCUGAGGACGAGAGCCAGAAGCUGCUGAUGGAGGGAAAAGACAAGGCCAGCAAUGGAUAUUUUAAAGGGAAAAGAGCAUUUUGAUCCAAGUCGCAAUUGCUGGCUCUGCCAAUCAAGUCACUAGAAUCGGGGUGACGUCGGUCUGAAGAGAAGAGACUGAGCUGCAUGUCAACCACAGCGAGUACCACACCGCUAAGAUUCCACACAGGACCUCGAUCUCAACGCAGCUUCUUGUUCCAUCGACGGGACGAGUCAGGAAAGGUUUCCAUUGCUGAGAUCCUUCACCAACACCCGAGCAGUGUUGUCAAUCCCUUGUCCUCCUCCCAGGGCACUCUGCGUGGCCAUCGCAACGGAGACGGUGAGCAGAAUUUUCUUCUGGAAUGAGAUUUACGUUGCCUGUCGGUCUCGAUCCGUAAAAAGACUCAAGGACUCAAAUCAUUAACCGUCAGCUAUUGGUUUAUUUUACUUGCGCAAGAGGAGAUGUGUCUCAGUCAAAGGUUGUGAUCAUAUUUUCAAUGUUAGUCGGCUUAGCAGGAUAUUUAUACACUAAGAUGAUGACUUUUGAUGAUGUGAAGUAGAUCAAUGUGUUAAUCAUCAGGUCUGCUCGUAAUAUACACAAAGACCAUGGCUUUUGAUAAUGUUAAUUAGAUCAAUAUGUUAAUCACGUUGCUGAGUUUACAUCAAUCACCC